UACGGGGGGAGCAAGCGUUGUUCGGAUUUACUGGGCGUAAAGGGCGCGUAGGCGGUCAGCACAAGUCAGUUGUGAAAUCUCCGGGCUUAACUCGGAAAGGUCAACUGAUACUGUGCGACUAGAGUGCAGAAGGGGCAACUGGAAUUCUCGGUGUAGCGGUGAAAUGCGUAGAUAUCGAGAGGAACACCUGCGGCGAAGGCGGGUUGCUGGGCCGAUACUGACGCUGAGGAGCGAAAGCGUGGGGAGCGAACAGG
rnacentral:rRNA from 1 species